rnacentral:lncRNA from 1 species
GUUGAUUACCGCAACGCAAUUUAUAACGCUUUACCUGAAGACCUAAUAUUAGUAAUAUAGAUCUCCAAUAUUAGAAUAAUAUCAUCACAGUAUAAUACUGUUAUAUUUAUAUACACAUAAUAACCUAAACACAUAACACAUAAGCCUAUCAGUCUAUACAGCACAUAAGACAUAGCAUCAAGUCAAACUAUUUAAGUCUGAGUUGAAACUGACACAAUUUUAUCAUCCCAACGGUCUAGUCGGUCAACACUCGAGUUUAAGUUCAAUUAAACUAUGC